rnacentral:tRNA from 1 species
AAUUUCGUAGCUCAGCUGGUUAGAGCAAUCGCCUUUUAAGCGAUAGGUCAAAGGUUCGAAUCCUUUCGGAAUUA